CGCUGGCGGCAGGCCUAACACAUGCAAGUCGAACGCCCUAGCAAUAGGGAGUGGCGCACGGGUGCGUAACGCGUGGGAAUAUGCCCUUCACUGCGGAAUAACGUUUGGAAACGAACGCUAAUACCGCAUAAUGACUCCGGUCCAAAGAUUUAUCGGUGAAGGAUUAGCCCGCGUUAGAUUAGCUAGUUGGUGAGGUAAUGGCUCACCAAGGCGACGAUCUAUAGCUGGUCUGAGAGGAUGAUCAGCCACACUGGGACUGAGACACGGCCCAGACUCCUACGGGAGGCAGCAGUGAGGAAUAUUGGACAAUGGGCGCAAGCCUGAUCCAGCCAUGCCGCGUGAGUGAAGAAGGCCUUCGGGUUGUAAAGCUCUUUCAGAUGUGAAGAUAAUGACGGUAGCAUCAGAAGAAGCCCGGCUAAAUUCGUG
rnacentral:rRNA from 1 species